AACGAACGCUGGCGGCAGGCUUAACACAUGCAGGUCGAACGCCCCGCAAGGGGAGUGGCAGACGGGUGAGUAACGCGUGGGAACAUACCCUUUCCUGCGGAAUAGCUCCGGGAAACUGGAAUUAAUACCGCAUACGCCCUACGGGGGAAAGAUUUAUCGGGGAAGGAUUGGCCCGCGUUGGAUUAGCUAGUUGGUGGGGUAAAGGCCUACCAAGGCGACGAUCCAUAGCUGGUCUGAGAGGAUGAUCAGCCACAUUGGGACUGAGACACGGCCCAAACUCCUACGGGAGGCAGCAGUGGGGAAUAUUGGACAAUGGGCGCAAGCCUGAUCCAGCCAUGCCGCGUGAGUGAUGAAGGCCUUAGGGUUGUAAAGCUCAUUCACCGGAGAAGAUAAUGACGGUAUCCGGAGAAGAAGCCCCGGCUAACUUCGUGCCAGCCGCCGCGGUAAAAC
rnacentral:rRNA from 1 species